UACGUAGGGUGCAAGCGUUGUCCGGAAUUAUUGGGCGUAAAGAGCUCGUAGGCGGUUUGUCGCGUCGGCUGUGAAAACCCGGGGCUCAACCCCGGGCCUGCAGUCGAUACGGGCAAACUAGAGUGCGGUAGGGGAGACUGGAAUUCCUGGUGUAGCGGUGAAAUGCGCAGAUAUCAGGAGGAACACCGGUGGCUAAGGCGGGUCUCUGGGCCGUAACUGACGCUGAGGAGCGAAAGCGUGGGGAGCGAACAGG
rnacentral:rRNA from 1 species